rnacentral:rRNA from 1 species
UACAGAGGUCUCAAGCGUUGUUCGGAUUCAUUGGGCGUAAAGGGUGUGUAGGUGGCGCCGUAAGUCGGGUGUGAAAUCUCGGGGCUUAACUCCGAAACUGCAUUCGAUAUUGCGGUGCUUGAGGACUGGAGAGGAGACUGGAAUUCAUGGUGUAGCAGUGAAAUGCGUAGAUAUCAGGAGGAAUACCGGUGGUGUAGACGGCUCUCUGGACCGCCACUGACGCUGAGACACGAAAGCGUGGGUAGCAAACAGG